GCAGACGGGUGAGUAACGCGUGGGAAUCUACCAUUUGCUACGGAACAACUCCGGGAAACUGGAGCUAAUACCGUAUGUGCCCUAACGGGGAAAGAUUUAUCGGCAAAUGAUGAGCCCGCGUUGGAUUAGCUAGUUGGUGGGGUAAAGGCCUACCAAGGCGACGAUCCAUAGCUGGUCUGAGAGGAUGAUCAGCCACACUGGGACUGAGACACGGCCCAGACUCCUACGGGAGGCAGCAGUGGGGAAUAUUGGACAAUGGGCGCAAGCCUGAUCCAGCCAUGCCGCGUGAGUGAUGAAGGCCCUAGGGUUGUAAAGCUCUUUCACCGGUGAAGAUAAUGACGGUAACCGGAGAAGAAGCCCCGGCUAACUUCGUGCCAGCAGCCGCGGUAAUACGAAGGGGGCUAGCGUUGUUCGGAUUUACUGGGCGUAAAGCGCACGUAGGCGGACUUUUAAGUCAGGGGUGAAAUCCCGGGGCUCAACCCCGGAACUGCCUUUGAUAC
rnacentral:rRNA from 2 species